UUCUAUACUUAGAUGCAAUGGG
rnacentral:siRNA from 1 species